rnacentral:lncRNA from 1 species
UUUCCAGGUAAGUUGUUGCGUUCUUCUUUGUAAAUCCCAAUUUCAAAUCAAUUUUUAUUCCUUUUCUAUUCUGAUCAUUCCACUCUAGGACAAUCAACUAAUCAUUGCUUGAACUGGAGCAGCAAGAACAAGAGUAAGAAGCAAGACACACUGAAUAGAAGGAAAUUGAAAUCUUAUUUUAGGAUGCAUAGAAGUUAAAAUCUUAUUUUUUUGAUGCAUAGAAAUAGACUUCUUUUUCAUCUAAGCUUGAGCCUUUUUUUCUAUGCUUAGGCCUUGUUUAGUUCACCCCAAAAUCAAAAGCUUUUCAAGAUUAGUUAUUCAUGUGUCUUUUUAUUUAUUAUUAGAAUUGAUUUCUAUGCAAUAUUAGAGUACAUUUUUAUACAUUAUCUGAGCAUAUUUCUAUACGUUAUUGUUAGCUUCUUUUUAUGCAUUUUUAGCAUAAUUAUCUGUACACUUGUAUAUAAUUCUAUACUUCGCUGGUACACAAUUCUAUAUAUUGUAUAAAGAAUUUUUUCUAGGAACUCUGAAUUUAUAUUUUAUACAUUGUUAGAACACAAUUUAUGCAUUUGUUGGGGCAUAUUUAUACAUUAUUGUGUCUACGUCAAGGUGAGGGCUGGGGCCAGGACUCUAGGAGGCGUUAGGUGGCCGGAGAAGAAGUUCGACAUGUAGUGCUCUAGGCCAUGGCUCUCACGGGGCGGCCCGGUGCACGAUGCAGUCCAUGACCAUGGCGGAAGGUGAUAAUAUUUUAGAUCGGUAUUCGAUGAAUUGAUCUACCCCUAUUUGCUUUCCUUUUGUGCAUUCAAGAUUGUUGGUUUUGUAGGUACAUUUGCUCAUUCGUGUAUCUAUGUGAUUUGAAUACAAAAUGUGAAUUACAUUUCUAUACAUUAUCGAACUACAUUUCUAUGCAUUAUUAGGACACAUUAAUGGACCUGAUUAGAAUAAAAAUUUGUAUCGUUCACUAUCCAGGCCAAGGAGGCCAUCGCCCCCGCUUCGUCGAUGGGCAUGUGUAUGGGCACGCAUUCCAUGGGGCGAGCAGAUCUGGCCCUAGCGAUGUCAUCUUUGGUCCAGCAGCACGCUCCGUGCAGUGAGCAGUUUCGUGCACAAGGAGAGGGCUGCUUGCUUGUUUCCAGGUAAAUUCCUUGUAAAUCGUAAUUUUAAACCAAUUUCCAUUCCUUCUCUAUUCUGACCAUUCCACUCUAGGACAAUCAAUUAAUCAUUGUUUGAACUGAAGCAGCAAGAACAAGAGGAAGAAGUGAGACACACUGAAUACAUAGAAAUUGAAAUCUUAUUUUAGGAUGCAUAGAAAUUAAAAUCUUAAUUUUUUUAUGCAUAGAAACAUACUUCUUUUUUAUCUAAGCUUGAGGCUUUUUUUCUAUGCUUAACCUUGAUAUAGUUUUUUCUAAAAUUGAAAUAUUAAUUUUUGGGUGCAUAGAAAUUAAAAUCUUAAUUUCUUGGAUGCAUGGAAACAUUUCGGAUACUAGUUCUAGAAAGUUAUAUGUUUGUGCUACUGUGUUUUAUGCUUGCUUGGUUGCAAUUCGAAUGGCUACAAGAGCAACACAAAUUCAUUGAAAAAGUUAUAAUUUUUUCUAGAUCCUGCAUUCCAUCAUGAGCAGAAGGUGGCCGGAGAAAAUUUUUAUGCAUACAUAUAAAAUUUCUGUUUCCCAGCUUGCAUACAAAAAUUUGUAUGCAUACGUAACCUGCCUCAAAUGCAGGCUCUCUGUGACACGGUGAGCAGUAGGCUAGGCCUGAUCCAACAGAGGCAUGGCUUGUGUUCUUGAAUUUUUCUUGUUUUCAAUGGAAGCUAGUUCAUGCUCAUGUUGAUUUUCCAUACAAUUGAAUGACAAGCAAGAAAAUUUUCUAUGCAAAUUAAUUUAAAUUUUUAUGCUUCUUUUCUCAUAUAUGAUGUGUAAUAAAAUUGUUGCUUUAAAAAUACUGAUCAUUGGUUAUUCAUGCAUCUUUUUAUACAUUGUUGAAAAAA